AUUUAAGUAGUUUAUUUAAAAUAUUGAUUUGUGGUGUCAAUGAAAUGUCUUUCAUCUUAAAUA
rnacentral:tRNA from 1 species